CAAUAGCGUAUAUUAAAGUUGUUGCAGUUAAAAAGCUCGUAGUUGGAUUUGUGGCGUACGGUGUGUUCCGGGCACUUGUUGUCUGAGUAUCCUGCUGUUGCCAUCCUUGGGUGGAACCUGUGUGGCAUUAGGUUGUCGUGCAGGGGAUGCCCAUCAUUUACUGUGAAAAAAUUAGAGUGUUCAAAGCAGGCUUAUGCCGUUGAAUAUAUUAGCAUGGAAUAAUGAGAUAGGACUUUUUUGCUAUUUUGUUGGUUUGCGCAAAGAGGUAAUGAUUAAUAGGGACAGUUGGGGGUAUUCGUAUUCCAUUGUCAGAGGUGAAAUUCUUGGAUUUUUGGAAGACGAACUACUGCGAAAGCAUUUACCAAGGAUGUUUUCAUUAA
rnacentral:rRNA from 1 species